AUCGAACGCUGGCGGCAGGCCUAACACAUGCAAGUCGAACGGAUCCUUCGGGAUUAGUGGCGGACGGGUGAGUAACACGUGGGAACGUGCCCUUUGGUUCGGAACAACUCAGGGAAACUUGAGCUAAUACCGGAUGUGCCCUUCGGGGGAAAGAUUUAUCGCCAUUGGAGCGGCCCGCGUCUGAUUAGCUAGUUGGUGAGGUAAAGGCUCACCAAGGCGACGAUCAGUAGCUGGUCUGAGAGGAUGAUCAGCCACAUUGGGACUGAGACACGGCCCAAACUCCUACGGGAGGCAGCAGUGGGGAAUCUUGCGCAAUGGUCGAAAGACUGACGCAGCCAUGCCGCGUGAAUGAUGAAGGUCUUAGGAUUGUAAAAUUCUUUUAGCAGGGACGAUAAUGACGGUACCUGCAGAAAAAGCCCCGGCUAACUUCGUGCCAGCAGCCGCCGUAA
rnacentral:rRNA from 1 species